rnacentral:rRNA from 1 species
UGGGGAAUAUUGCACAAUGGGCGCAAGCCUGAUGCAGCAAUGCCGCGUGAGUGAAGACGGCCUUAGGGUUGUAAAACUCUUUCGCUAGGGAAGAUAAUGACGGUACCUAGUAAAGAAGUCCCGGCUAACUCCGUGCCAGCAGCCGCGGUAAUACGGAGGGGACUAGCGUUGUUCGGAAUUACUGGGCGUAAAGAGUUCGUAGGCGGACUAGCAAGUUAGAGGUGAAAUCCCAGGGCUCAACCUUGGAACUGCCUUUAAAACUGCUAGUCUAGAGACCGGAAGAGGUUAGGGGAAUACCUAGUGUAGAGGUGAAAUUCGUAGAUAUUAGGUGGAACACCAGUGGCGAAGGCGCCUAACUGGUCCGGUUCUGACGCUGAGGUGCGAAAGUGUGGGG